rnacentral:rRNA from 1 species
GACGAACGCUGGCGGCGUGCUUAACACAUGCAAGUCGAACGGAAAGGCCCUGCUUUUGUGGGGUGCUCGAGUGGCGAACGGGUGAGUAACACGUGAGUAACCUGCCCUUGACUUUGGGAUAACUUCAGGAAACUGGGGCUAAUACCGGAUAGGAUCUCCUGCUGCAUGGUGGGGGUUGGAAAGUUUCGGCGGUUGGGGAUGGACUCGCGGCUUAUCAGCUUGUUGGUGGGGUAGUGGCUUACCAAGGCUUUGACGGGUAGCCGGCCUGAGAGGGUGACCGGCCACAUUGGGACUGAGGUACGGCCCAGACUCCUACGGGAGGCAGCAGUGGGGAAUAUUGCACAAUGGGCGGAAGCCUGAUGCAGCAACGCCGCGUGCGGGAUGACGGCCUUCGGGUUGUAAACCGCUUUCGCCUGUGACGAAGCGUGAGUGACGGUAAUGGGUAAAGAAGCACCGGCUAACUACGUG